GCCAGCAUGGCGGAAGUGCGCACUGGGGAGGAGAGGUAUAAAAUGAGUCGGUGUCACAGUGUUUGGAGAACCAGAUGAAAAAGUCCAAGUUAUCUCUGAAAGUUUCUGUCUUACUUAGGUUGACCUGCACUUUGGAACUGUGUGGAUUCCUCCUAUCACGGGAUCAGUAUCUCGAUAAAUAACAAACUUCCCGAAAAGAAAGUUUAAACCUCAAAUCAUGUGUAACUAAAGCUGGACAACAACCCUCGGGACAAGGUAAAUGAAAAGUGAGUUGGCAACACAACUCACCUACAAGUUCUCCAAUCAUGAAAAGCAAGUAAAGAACGGCAGCAAUGGUCAAUCUGGUUUUCACCUUUCUCUGCUUCAGUAACUCUCGCUGUCUGCUGCAGUUGUCACAGGGGUCCACCUUCAGACUCAGCUGACUGUUGGUCAAAGAACCAUCGUCGGCCACCACAACUCGGAGUUUGUUAAACCGAGGAAGCCCCUCGUCCCCCACCUCGUCCGAGAAGUCGAA